CAUACAUGUGAAACGCCUCUGCAUAACCGAUUAGGUGUUCACAUUUUGCUGAUGUUCUGGUCUAACAGCAGGACCGCUGAGUGCAUUGCAGAUCUGGAGCAGCUUCUU